UGAUAAUUAUUAAAAUAAUUUACUUGUUUUUUUCUUUGUACUUUGGGCAAGCAGGAGCGUGCGUGUGGUGCACGCGCGUCCCGCCGUUGCUUCUGCUCACGCGCCCCUUUCAGGGUCUCUGGAAGCUGGGAGCCUUUUCGUGCGCGUGUGACUCUGUUGCAGAUCGCCAUGCACACGCGCGCAGGUGUUUGUGGGCGGGGCCUCGACCCGGAGCACGCGGUGGGUUUUUCUAAAAAAUCGUUUGGCUCGUCGAAGGCCGCGCGCCGCUCGCUUCUCUUCAUUUCGAGGUUUCCAGAUUCGUUCGAUUGUUUUCGUGGAUGUGGGGGGGGGCGUGACCCCCCCUCAGUCAGUCCGGUUCUGGAGUUUGUCUCAAACGACGCCGAUAUCUCGUUAAUCUAAGCGCGCACGCGCUCUGGUCAAUUAAAACCCCCAUUAACCUGAACAAAAAAAUAAAAAUAAAACGAAGAAAAGUAUGCCCCCCGCCCCCACUUCCGGAAUGUUAGGAAUAGUUGUAAAAGAUUUGUAUAGAUGCGCGUCGAUGGCGGCACGUGCUUUUAUGUUAUACCUGCCGCGUGCGCAUGCAGAUUCCGCGUGGAGGUGAGGGGUCUGUGAGGGCGGGAACUGUCCAGAGCGUUCGUUUCUCUCCUCUGAAGACUUUGGCCGGACGCAGCAGACAGGCGCCGCGCGCGCUCAUGGGGAGGCUCCGCUGUGGCCCCCCAGGCCCGCUCUUCCAGUGAGGGCCCGGCGAAGGCCUGCUGCAGUGGCGCGGCUCUGCCGCCAGGGGGCAGGGGCGGACCGGAGAGGAGGACCGUGAAACGGAUGAAAAGUUUGGAACACACAGAAAGGAGAAGCGCGAGCUGACGCGUGACUGCUUCUGGAUCGAUGGUGGGGUUCGGUUCGACUGUGAUUCUGGUACUGUAGCAGGAGGAGUCCUGGACUGUAAGUGAUUGGAUUCAUCAAGACCUGAUGAAUUUAGACCGGUAACCAUGACAACAACGUGAUGGCCUGAUGCAGCGGAGUGGGAGCUGGUCCGUCCUGAGACUGAGCACAAGGAGCAGCAUGGGGUCAUGCAAACAGUGAUCAUCUCACAGGUUCAGAGUACUGCCAUUUUAUGACGACAUCCAUGCAUCUGCCCUCCAUCAGUUCCUGUGAGUUCAGCCCUCUUCAGGAGAUGAACCGCCCUCCACUUUCUCCAUAACCUUUAACCUCCAGGCAGGACACAGAACGUCAGGUGUUCUCAGGACCACAGCUCUCCUCGUUUGCUGCAGGCGUGAGGAGGUGCUGCAGGAGAUCCACUUCCUGCUCUCAGCCUCUGAUUAAAACCUGGUUAUUUCAGAACUUUCUGAUGUCUACCACCAGAGCUGGCUCAGAGUGUUUCUGGAGUCUGUAGGCUCACCUCAGACUCAAAUGUGUCAUUUAGCAGCUUUCCAGCUUCAGUUUGUUGAUGUAUUCUGGCGUGUUCUUGCCUCAGCAUCUCGCAGCUGCUUUUCCAGACUUCCAGGGUGUUUUUAUCCAGACAUUGUGCAUUCAGGAAGCUGCAGAUGUUGAUCAAACACAAAUGUUCUGCUUUUGAAAGUCAGUGUCUGCUGUGGAACAGAACAUUCAUUCAUGCUCUGUUUCAUUUAAAUCCUGUUAGGACCCUUUUUGUCGAACUAACAAAAGAAUCACACCUGCUCACAGGUAACAUGGGAGUGCAUCUUAGUAAAGAGCUUCGCCUACUGACAAAUGAACCAAUAAAAUCCUGCUUCUCUGUUGUGUGAAGUCUGAAA